rnacentral:rRNA from 1 species
AUUGAACGCUGGCGGCAUGCCUUACACAUGCAAGUCGAACGGCAACAGGUCUUUCGGGAUGCUGACGAGUGGCGAACGGGUGAGUAAUACAUCGGAACGUGCCUAGUAGUGGGGGAUAACUACUCGAAAGAGUGGCUAAUACCGCAUGAGAUCUAUGGAUGAAAGCAGGGGACCUUCGGGCCUUGUGCUACUAGAGCGGCCGAUGGCAGAUUAGGUAGUUGGUGAGAUAAAAGCUUACCAAGCCUACGAUCUGUAGCUGGUCUGAGAGGACGAUCAGCCACACUGGGACUGAGACACGGCCCAGACUCCUACGGGAGGCAGCAGUGGGGAAUUUUGGACAAUGGGCGCAAGCCUGAUCCAGCAAUGCCGCGUGCAGGAUGAAGGCCUUCGGGUUGUAAACUGCUUUUGUACGGAACGAAAAGUCUUGGGUUAAUACCCUGGGAUCAUGACGGUACCGUAAGAAUAAGCACCGGCUAACUACGUGCCAGCCGCCGCUGUAAUAC